UAGAAGAUGCCAAUUAAUCUCGAAGUUGUAUAAAGCAGGAGAGGGUGAGACUGAUUAUAUAAAAGAAUACACCUAAAAUUAUGCUAAGUUUUUUCUCUGCUUGGCAAAAUUAUCAUAGUAGGUGUCUGGCAUUAGUUUCCUACACCUCGUCACAGACAAGCACCAAAGGAAUCCCCAAACAGCCAGACAGGUUUUGGGCACCUAGGCUGAGCAGGACAUUGUCCUGGCCCUGGGAAUACAGCAGAGAAGUGGCUGGAGAAACAGUCCCUGCACUCAUGGAGUUCCCAAUCAACCAAGGAGACAAAAUGUUUAAACAUCAUAUUUAACAAGACAAAGAUAUUCCCUGUAAAAAAGUGAAAUAACACAAGGAAAAAAUUAUUAAGCUGUUAAGCAACAAAGCUGACAGAAUCGAGGAAUCAAAGUUGAAAAGAGAAGGGAAGUGGACAUUUUACAAAUCCACAAACUGGAUAAUCCAUUCCAAAUACAAAAAGAAGCAUCAUUUGUUUCUAAUAAACAGUUUCUAGAUUACAUAUUCUUAUUUAUAAUCUAAUCUUGUUAAAAAUUUUAUUCUACUUACAAAGUCUUAACUUGUCUCCAAGUUUUCUUUUUAUGUUAUUUUGAGAAGUUUUUCUGAAAAGUCUUAUAAAUAAGUAUAUACAUUUUGGU